UACGUAGGGGGCGAGCGUUGUCCGGAAUCAUUGGGCGUAAAGAGCGUGUAGGCGGCCCGAUAAGUCUGGUGUGAAAUCUUGAGGCUCAACCUCAAGCUGUCAUCGGAUACUGUCGGGCUAGAGUCCGGAAGAGGAGAGUGGAAUUCCUGGUGUAGCGGUGGAAUGCGCAGAUAUCAGGAGGAACAUCCGUGGCGAAGGCGGCUCUCUGGUACGGUACUGACGCUGAGACGCGAAAGCGUGGGGAGCGAACAGG
rnacentral:rRNA from 1 species